rnacentral:rRNA from 1 species
AACGAACGCUGGCGGCGUGCCUAACACAUGCAAGUCGAACGGAAUUAGAGAGCUUGCUCUUUGAUUUAGUGGCGCACGGGUGAGUAACGCGUAGAUAAUCUGCCUGACGAUCCGGGAUAACACUUCGAAAGGGGUGCUAAUACCGGAUAAGCCCACGAGACCAUCGGGUCAUGCGGGAAAAGGAGGGGACCUUCGGGCCUUCCGACGUCAGAUGAGUCCGCGUCCCAUUAGCUAGUUGGCGGGGUAAUGGCCCACCAAGGCUACGAUGGAUAGCUGGUCUGAGAGGAUGAUCAGCCACACUGGAACUGAGACACGGUCCAGACUCCUACGGGAGGCAGCAGUGGGGAAUUUUGCGCAAUGGGGGAAACCCUGACGCAGCAACGCCGCGUGAGUGAUGAAGGCUUUCGGGUCGUAAAGCUCUGCCAGAAGGGAAGAAAUGUAGGUGGCUAAUAUCCAUUCUACUUGACGGUACCUUCAAGGGAAGCACCGGCUAACUCCGUGCCAGCAGCCGCCGUAAAAC